CCAUACUUCUGAUAAAUUGUCCUCUCCAUAGACAUGGAAAUUAGCUUCAGUGUAGCAGCAAAGCUUAAAGGAGCAGGUGAGUAGUUAGCUAGGAGUAUGCCACCAUAUCUAAGCCAUUGGCUAUAGAGUAUCAUCUAUGGGGUCAUGCAUAGAAGGGGCCAGGGAAUGAGUUAAGUACAAGAAGGCACCCUAGUAUAGUAAAAAAUAAGACAGGAGUUGAAGUCAGAAGACCAGCUUUAGUCUCUAACUUUGCAGUUUACUGCAUGAGUGAUUAUGUGUCCAUUGUUUGUCCUCUAGGAGCCUUAGUGUCCCCAUAUGAAAGAUAAAGAAUCAAAUGGAUAUUACAUGCAAAAUAUCUUGGGACUCAUAAUCACUAUGUAACCAUCACAGAAAGGAAGAAUACAUUAUUCUGAACCCUGGGCUUGUCUGAGCUGUGCACAGAUUUUAAUGAAUCCCUGAUUCUGUCUCAGAAAAAUAGAAUUACUAUUUGGCAUGGUACCAAUCCAUUUCUUUCUUUUUUUGAGACAGAAUCUCGCUCCGUCACCCAGGCUGGAGUGCAGUGGCUCAAUCUUGGCUCACUGCAACCUCUGCCUCCCAGGUUCAAGCAAUUCUCCUGCCUUAGCCUCCCGAAUAGCUGAGACUACAGGCGCGUACCGUCUCAUUCAGCUAUUUUUUUGUAUUUUUAGUGGAGACGGGGUUUCACCGUGUUAGCCAGGAUGGUCUUGGUUUCCUGACCUCGUGAUCCACCCGCCUCGGCCUCCAAAAGUAUUGGGAUUAUAGGAGUGAGCCACCACACCUGGCCUCCAUUUCAUUUUUAUUGAGUUCAACUUUGUUGCAUGUUGUGACAAUAAAGACCUUUGGAAAAAAGUAAGCAUAAACUAAUGACCAUGAUUCAGAUACAUUUGCAAGCUGGAAACAUUUUGGUCAUUGUAGCUGGAUGCCUUAAAAGAAAACUCAGUAAUACAUGCUCUCUUUUCUCCAUGGGGAAAACAGAUGAAGGCUCUAAGAUGGGUGAUAACACUUCCAAGGAUCUGUUUUCCAGGAAACCCAACCUGUAAAGUUGAUACCAAGAGCGGUUUAAGAAAACAAGUGCUAAAAUGGAGUUUUGGAGCCAGAUUACCUGCUACUUUGCCAACAAUGAAGACACCAUCCCUGGUAGUAGGUGAAGCACAGAGAGCCCUGCUACAACUAUCCAGUUGUCAAAGGUUUUACUGGUGGUACAUCGGGAUGGUAUAGCAGUAUAAGGGAAUCCACUAGUUGGUUCCAUAUAUCAGGCAUUUGAGGAAUAUGGGUGAAAUAGAAACAAAACAACAAAAAAUUGAG
rnacentral:lncRNA from 1 species